GGAUGGUGGUUGUGGAAGCCGCUGCUGGCCUGCCCAGGGCCCCUCGCGGGGCCAGCGCACCAACUUCCCCAAACCCCAGCUGUGUGAGCCUUGGCUUCUUUGGGUCACAGCUACUCCUUUCUCUGCAGAAUCGACCUCCGCUGAUGUCGGGUGCCUGGCGGGGAAAAUUAUGGCUCCGCCCCCAGGGCAGCCCACAGCCAAUGACUGACACAGAGGGCACUCUAGGCCCUACUCAAAACUCCAAGCUGGAAUCCUGAGGUGUGGCCACAAGCUGACCCCUAACCUCGCAGCGGCAUUCCACCUGGUUUCAUGGGAGACAGAGACCUGAGCAGAAGGCUCAACUGCAGAGGACGGUGUUGGCUGACUUCACGGACCUGCUUCAAGACAGAGAGGAGAAAAUUGCUGAGCUCUUCUCAAGGCAGCAAGACCAACAACUGCUUACAGACCCCAGGCCUGGACGGGGUGGUGCUCACUGAUUUUGGGUCCCAGGUGGGAGAUAAAACAUAAGGACCCUCAUGAGAGAGCCGGAGCCAUGAAGGAGCCCAGUGCCCAGAGGCAGGGAAAAGCCCGCCGGACGGCACUCAGAGAGGGCCAACCAUGGGUCCCCCACCACAAAGCCCCUACCUGCUGAGCAUCAGAAUGGAAGCUGGGUGGGAUUAGGGAUGACAUGUGGGGUCAGGAGUCUGCUGUGAGCGGCAAAUUCUGAGUCAAGAUGGAUUAUGGAUAUUGUAUGAUAAUUAUAGUUAUCAUGUAAGUAUCAUAUAAUCAUCAUACGAGUUCAAUUCCACAACCUGUCCCCAGUUUGUCGUGUGGCGCUGGGCAAGCCCCUUCCCCUUUACCAUCUAUCUGUACAAGGAAGAACUGGACUAGACACUUGCUAAGGACUAACAGUCCAAGAGUCCUUCCUGCCAACUCCACCAAGGAAGCUCCUGAGAGCUCAGCUUGUUUUGUGCAUCCUGGAAUGAUGGUUGCAUAUCAGCCCCACUGAUCCUCUUCCAGCUCUUUGGCCACGCUGCCUCAGGAUCUUUGCACAUGCACUUUUUUGUGCCUGGAAGCUUUACUUCAUGCCCCAGACUAUAUACCAGGUGUCUUGUCUUACAUUCACAUUAUUUCCUAUAUUUCUUAUAAAACCUAAUACAGUUUGUAACUCGAUACUGACUCUGUGGUUAUUUGAUUCAUGUCUCUGUCUUCCACAGGGCUAUAAGUUUGUAAAUCCGGGGCCCCUGUGUACUCUUUGCAGUGUGAUUCUAGCCUUCCACAUGGUACCUGGUCUAUAGCAGGCAUUCAUUAAGUACCUGUUCAUGAAAUGAAUGCUAUUAUCAUUAUUAUUUGAAGCCAAGAAUCUCUCUAAGAAGGUUGGAGAAGCCAGUUCUGAUCCCCUCAGAAAGGGAAAGGCCAACCCACCCGUUAAUGGCCUUCAGCUCUGAGGUGCAGACCCCUCCUUGCACCCGCUCCCUGCUCUCUGCAGGGGA